AUGCUCGCCGGCGCCUGUCGGGCUGUGGCCGGGACUCGGAUCCGCAGCUGCUCCUUCUCGCCCGCCGCCCCUCGCCGGGACGGUCGUUGCGGUGCGGCGCUGGCUACAACGCGAGCGCACGCUGCCUGUCUCCUCAGCCAAGUGCUGCUCCUUGCCAGGCUGCUGCGCCUUUGCUGCCGGCGCAUUUCAGCGUUAAGAGCAGGCAGAUGUUACAGCCCAAACAGAACGCGGCUGCCUGCGGGCGCUGACCGGCGCUGGCGCCGCACGGUUUGUCCUGCAGAAGACUGUCGGUCACGGCGGCAUCCCCCUGUCCCGCCGCUCGCAGAGCGUUACGCUUGCCAGGGCUUCCCACCCUAACGGCGGCUCACCGAUCAGCGGCUGGGGCACAACGCCGCGGAGCCACCUCGCACCUCCCUUCCGUCCCCGCCUGUUUUCUCCCCCAGGAACCCUGAACACCCGUCGAUAAGUCCCGGCGAGGGCCCAGUACCGCCAGGGGCCGCCGUGCCCCCUCAGGCGGGCGGCUGUGCCCUCACCGCGGCUCCCACCCCCCCCCCCCCCCGUCCGUGCGCGCGCGCGGCGGCUCCUCGCGCCGAAGGCGGGAAGCGUGUAGCUGCCUCAGCACCCCGCGAACCCCGUGAGGGAGCGGAGUCCGCCGGCGGCGUGAGGAGCGACCCGGCCAGAGGUGCCUCCUUACAGCCACCCUCAUGUCCUUCCGGUUUAUAUAAGCUAAAACCCGGUUCCUUCCCUCUAGCCUCAGGUGUGUCUGACGGCCUUGUUCACCUGUUGGGCCAGAAUGGGUCCCUCCAUCCCCGUUGCCGCGGUACCAGUGCUGGGUCGCAGCUGUGUGCUCCUUGGGUGCCUUGACAGCAACAGCCCCAUGCACACACUCUGAUGUCCUUACAGGCCGUGGAUUUUUGUGGGGUUUGUUUACGGCAUCCCUUCAGUGACAUAAAAUUUACUCAGUGUGACCUCUCAAGGUGCCGUUCCUCAGAGCUGGUGCUUAGGUGGUUGUGUUGUGUGUGUGUGUGCUGUGGGUUGUCUCUGUGUAGGACAGCUUCACACUUACUGAAUGCUGUUGUGAUCUUCAGAUCCCACCAAUGAUCCCACCAAUCCCUCACAGCUUGGUGGCAUUCCCAGAUUUAAUAAGGAGGUGCUUUGUUCCAUCUUCCGGGUUGCUACAGAAUAUAACAAAUA
rnacentral:lncRNA from 1 species